rnacentral:rRNA from 1 species
UGAACCUUUACUAUAGCUUGACACUGAACAUUGAGCCUUGAUGUGUAGGAUAGGUGGGAGGCUUUGAAGUGUGGACGCCAGUCUGCAUGGAGCCGACCUUGAAAUACCACCCUUUAAUGUUUGAUGUUCUAACGUGGACCCGUGAUCCGGGUUGCGGACAGUGUCUGGUGGGUAGUUUGACUGGGGCGGUCUCCUCCUAAAGAGUAACGGAGGAGCACGAAGGUUGGCUAAUCCUGGUCGGACAUCAGGAGGUUAGUGCAAUGGCAUAAGCCAGCUUGACUGCGAGCGUGACGGCGCGAGCAGGUGCGAAAGCAGGUCAUAGUGAUCCGGUGGUUCUGAAUGGAAGGGCCAUCGCUCAACGGAUAAAAGGUACUCCGGGGAUAACAGGCUGAUACCGCCCAAGAGUUCAUAUCGACGGCGGUGUUUGGCACCUCGAUGUCGGCUCAUCACAUCCUGGGGCUGAAGUAGGUCCCAAGGGUAUGGCUGUUCGCCAUUUAAAGUGGUACGCGAGCUGGGUUUAGAACGUCGUGAGACAGUUCGGUCCCUAUCUGCCGUGGGCGCUGGAGAACUGAGGGGGGCUGCUCCUAGUACGAGAGGACCGGAGUGGACGCAUCACUGGUGUUCGGGUUGUCAUGCCAAUGGCACUGCCCGGUAGCUAAAUGCGGAAGAGAUAAGUGCUGAAAGCAUCUAAGCACGAAACUUGCCCCGA